rnacentral:rRNA from 1 species
AUGCCCGACAAGUCAACCCUAUCAGCUAACUCCUCGGCGGGGGCGGGGCACAACAACAACAAGAAGAAGAAGCCGAUGUAUAUUCGGCCGCCGGCACCGAUGGUGAACAUGAAACCAUCGAUAUGCGCCAAGACUUGGUACGAUCGAUGGGGCGAGAUGAAUUGCUUCCCUCUCACUGAAACCAAGCUCUUCUUCACCGACAGCUCCGCGCGCAUCUUCCGCUUCGAUGCCGACACCCACUGCAUCGACACCAUGCCCAGCCUCCACACGCCCAAGUCCUCCCCCUUGUCCUUCUCCAUCCCUCCAAAUCCGACCACCUCCAAGGAAGGCCAAGGCGAAGGCGGAGGCCUCUACAUCAUGGACAGGAUCCUCAGGCCCAACAAGGAGGGUCAGGUCCAGUUUGAGUCUAUCUCGUACCGCAGGCGCUGCAACCACUCCAGCAAGGCCUGGCACUGCGACGCCCUCCCGCCGCCGCCUUUCGUCCACGACCCGGCCUACAAACAAGCCUCCAUCUGCUCCUAUGCCCUGGUUGGCGGCCACACCAUCUGUAUCUCCAUCAGGGGCGUCGGCACCUACUUUGACACGCUGGCUUGCGAGUGGAGCAAGGCUGGCAACUGGCUCAUGCCGUUUCAUGGCAGGGCGGAGUAUGACCCGGAGCUCGGCCUCUGGCUUGGCGUCUCUGAGCGCAACAUCCACCUCCCCUGCGUCGCCGACAUCUCCGGUGUCCUCAGAGGGGAGGAGCCGCUGCGGGAGCACACUCGAAUCUGGGAGGAUACUGACAUGCCAGAGGGGUGGUACCCGCACAGUCAGUGCCCCACCCAAGUUGUCAGCCUGGGUUCAGGCAGGUUUUGCGUCACCAACUUCGUUGAAACUAAGGACUUCGAUGAGCGCUGCGGCCAUUCGUUGGUUGACGACAUAUUUGCUGUCUUCACCGGCAUGGAGCUAGUGUUACCCGGCAAUGACAAUGAUGAGGGCAAAGCCAACAGCAACAGCAAGGGCGACUCCAAAGGCAAUGCCAAUGGGAACGGCAACGGGAUUGCUGGUGUGCGUAUGAUUAAGCAUAAAUCCAGAUCUUGCAGGAGUCACGGCACCAACUUGAUCAAGUCUGUGCUCUGA